CACGUAGUUAGCCGGGGCUUCUUAGUCAGGUACCGUCUUGUCUCGUUCCUGCUGAUAGAGCUUUACAUACCGAAAUACUUCUUCACUCACGCGGCGUCGCUGCAUCAGGGUUUCCCCCAUUCGUGCAAUAUUCCCCACUGCUGCCUCCCGUAGGAGUUUGGGCCGUGUCUCAGUCCCAAUGUGGCCGUCCACCCUCUCAGGCCGGCUACUGAUCGUCGCUUUGGUAGGCCGUUACCCUGCCAACUGGCUAAUCAGACGCGGGUCCAUCCCAUACCACCGGAGUUUUUCACACAGGAGCAUGCGCUCCCGUGCGCUUAUGCGGUAUUAGCACCUGUUUCCAGGUGGUAUCCCCCGGUAUGGGGCAGGUUACCCACGCGUUACUCACCCGUCCGCCACUAAGAUACUCAUUUCCAAAGUGCAAGCACUCCUUCCAUAAGCAUCCCCGUUCGACUUGCAUGUGUUAAGCACGCCGCCAGCGUUCAUCCUGACGCCAGGAUCAAACUCUCG
rnacentral:rRNA from 1 species